rnacentral:lncRNA from 10 species
GUGACAGACUGGAUAAAGAAAAUGUGGUACAUUAUACACCAUGGAAUACUAUACAGCCCAAGGAAUGAGAUCAUGUCCUUUGCAGGGACAUGGAUGAACCUGAAAGCAAUUAGCUUCAGCAAACUAACACAGGAACAGAAAACCAACCAGCACAAGUUCUCACUCAUCGCUGAACGAUGAGAGCACAUGGACACAGGGAGGGGAACAACACACACUAGGGCCUGUCGUGGGGCGGGGGUCGGGGGAGGGAGAACAUCAGGAUAAAUAGCUAAUGCAUGCUGUGCUUAAUAUCUAGGUGACGGGUUGAUAGGUGCUGCAAACCACCAUGGCACACGUUUGCCUAUGUAACCUGCAUAUCCUGCACAUGUAUCCUGGAACUUAAAAUAAAAUUACAUUUAAAAAAUAAUAACAAAUGUUUAUCUUUCCCAGGGGAUCUUAGGGAUGCACUAGUCUAGGUAGAACCUGCCUCCUCUCCACCUCGCUGGUAUCUGUAACCCCUUCUGGGGAAGGGAGAUUGAAGUCAAUUACCUUUCACUAUGGCCCCAAACCUUAGAUUCUAACAGGUGACAGUUCCAGCUUUUUCUUUUGUAUCUGGUCCCAGACUUUAAUGUUUUCUUUUUUCUCCCAAAUUACCUCAUAAAUGCAGCAGCUUUUGAAGUAUUAAAACUAAGGGAGGAGGGACACCCUGUUUAUGACAUUCUUGUGUUUCUGAAUGAAUUAAUUAUUUGCUUCUGCUAUCACCCAAGGGAGCACCUCAGAGUAGCCCUAUUCUCUGAGUCAAUCCUACAGGUCCUUAUAAUGUUAAGUAGAAACACACAAGAGUACAUUACACAUAGAUGCCCUUUGCCAGAAUGAAAUAACUGGAAAAAAAUCCAGAACUACUUCUUUAGAUCACUAUUCUUCCUGAAUCACCAUAUAUUGGAUCUUUUUUUUUUUCCCCACAUAUUGGAUCUUAACUUGUUUUUUAAAGUGAGGGAGUUUUACCCGAUCCCCCAAUCCCACUUUGGAAGAUUUGAUAGAAAAAAAAUGACUUGCAUAAUGGUGUGUAAAAAAUGUUUAUUGUAAUCAAUGGCAGUCUUUUUUAUAUUAUAAAUUAAUUUGUAUAUUUUGCAAUAAUAGUAUAAGGAACUCUGUAUAUCUUUUACACAGGUUCACUGGUUGCUUACAUUUUCUGUUUUCUCCAUUUGCUGUACAUACCUGUAUGUCUCUCUCUACAUACACAUUUCUAUUUCUGUUACUAUUUCUAUUUCUAGCUCUAACACUAGUUAUGGCUUUUAUCCCCUAAGUCAUUUGAGAGUAAGUUUGGAGACACUAUGCCCCUUACUAAAUAUUCAGCGUAUAUUUUACUUUUUUUAAAAAAAUGAUAUCCUCUUAUAUAACUACACUGUGAUUAUCAAGACCAGGAAAUUUAACACUCACACAGUAUCAUUAGCUAAUCCACGUUCCAUAUCCUCUCUUCAUCCAUUGCCUUAUAAUAUCUUUUCUAACCAUUUGGUUUUUCCAGCCCAAGAUCUAAUCCCGUAUCGCAUUAGUUGUCAUGUUUUGUUAGUCCCCUUUAGUCUGGAACAGUUUCUCAGUCAUUCUUUCUGUUUCUGACCUUGAUAUUUAUGAAAAUUAAAAGCCAGUUAUUUUGUAAAAUGUCCCCCACAUUGAAUUUGGCUGAUGUUUCCUUGUGAUUAGAUUCAGGUUAUGCAUUUUUGGCAGGAAAACUGAAGAAGUAAUUGCUGUCCUUCUGCGUACAUCAUAUCAGGAGGUACAUUAUGUUAGUUUCUCCAUUUUUAGUAAUGUUAACUUUGAUUAGUUAAGACAUAAUCUUUUUCUUUUACGUUGUUAAACAUGUAAGAAGGGCUCUGUUUUAAUCUGAUUCUCUUUUUACCGCCAGUAAUAUAAUGAUCCUUUCUAUGACCUUUAUGACCCAGUGGGCCUGAGUGUGAAUUUAUUACCCUAAUUACAGAACUGCCAAAACUGAAACAGAAAAUGGUUUUUCUGAAUGAGCCAGUAGAGGGUAGAAUUUGGACUUGCUGAACCCAGUUCCAUUAAAACCCAAUCCCAGGAAAAUUUGUCUCUUAAAAAAAAGAAAAAGAAAAAAGAGUUUUUGACUGAAUUUAUUUCUAAAUUUAUUUUGACCCCCUUGAUUGCUAACCGUGAGGACCCAGAAUUCUUCUCAAGGAGUGUAUAAAGCCCAGGAUGGCUUGAGGAUUUUUAGAUUUUCUUUUAGGAGACAUUGAUUCAAUUUUUAAAAAUUAUUAUCUCAUAAUUUUAAAAUUAUGAGAUUUAAAAUUAUUUAAAUUAAAUAAUUUAAAAAUUAUUAUCUCAUAAUUUUAAAAAAUUAUUAUUUAAUCUUUAAGCCCCUAGCUCAAAGAUUACAGGAGUAAUAUGGGGUGGUUGUGAGUCUUCAUUCUCUCAGGAAACAUGGCAUUAGGCUUUGGGAUCUGUGCAUCAAAUAUAGAAGAAUUCAUUAUGGUUGCAGUUCUUGAACAACAAGCACGGGAAACCUGUAACUGUCAAGCUUUAAUUUGGUGAUGCUGUGUAUUGUUGAGUGGGUGGAAGGAAAAUUUACCUGUAAGUCAGGUUAAGUAUAUCUGAGAAACAAUUCAUACCCAUUCAAAAGGUCAGCUUCAUAUCUUACCCCAAAGUCUUUCAGAAAAGGAAACCCACUGCAUUCAUUUCAUUUUUCUGAAGAAAACCUAAUUUUGCACAUCUGACUCUACGUUUGUUUUUGCCGAGUACAGACUUAUGCAAGCACAUUUUCCAUUCUCUUCACCACUAAUGAGAAAAAUUAUAACCUCAUAAGCUCUCCCUGUAUUAUAGCAAUAACAAAACACUGCCAAAUAUAGCCUUGUCUAACUAUUAUGAAUAUCUUUAUACUUGGAGACCACAGCCGCAAUAGCUAGCACUAUAAUUAGCUAUCUAAUCCAUCUGGCUGGGGAAAAUAUACUAUUAUUUAUGAGUGCUAUUCUUGCACUGAAUAUCCCGUAGAUGACUAAUUGCUGAUUUAAAAAUUCGGAACCACGAAUCUAGAGUAUCUAUAAUGGUGUACAAUGUUUUCUAGUUAUUCAUCAAGAAGUAAAGGGGCAUUUAUUGCAUGUCUCCAACAUACCUGAAGGUUAAUGUUAAGGGUUUUAUGCAGACCAUGUUCAUACAUUUACAAAUUGGGCCCAUGAAUUUAAGUCUUAGUAAUUCAGCAUAUUAAACUCCAGUCACAUCUUCUCCCUUAAAAGGCACUAUUUUACAAGUAUAAUAUAAAUGUAUUCAUUGACUCAUAAUUAUUUACAUGACCUCCAAAACAAGGUGAGUCUUGUGUGUAGUGUGGGUAUUUUGUUGAGGCGCUGACAUGAUUUUCUUUUUCUCCCUUCUCAUUUAUUACAGUGUUUUAGUGUGAACGUUUGAUCCUUACAGAGAUUUUAAUCCACCUGCCUUCUUAGGCCUCCAGUAGGCAGCCUGAGAUACCUGGUGGUGUCUGCUACCCAAAUCCAGCUCCGAUGCUCUAGCUGAAGAAGAAGAAUCUCCUGCAACUCCUGAGUCAUUUUGGUACUGGUGCCUGGGAAGGUGAUACCUCUCCUUCGUCCCUGGCCUCUACCCACUUGUCAGUACAAACCCCUAGUUGAGGCAACCAAAAUAUCUCCAGCCUUUGCCAAGUGCUCUUUGUGGGGCAAAACUAACUGCUCUAACUUGAAUUUAUUUUAUGUCUGAUGUCAAGCUUUUGUUAUCGUUUACUACGGACACUGAGAAUAAUUGGUCACCAUUUUCUUUUUUCUUUUUUUCUUUUUUUUUUUUUUUGAGAUGGACUCUCGCUCUGUCACCGGGCUGGAGUGCAAUGGCACAACCUUGGCUCACUGCAACCUUCGACUCCCUAGUUCAAGCGAUUCUCCUGCCUCAGCCUCCUGAAUAGCUGGGAUUACAGGCAUGCACCACCACGCCCAGCUAAUUUUUGUAUUUUUAGUAGAGACAGGGUUUCACCAUGUUGGCUAGGAUGGUGUCGAUCUCCUGACCUCAUGAUCCACCUGCCUCGGCCUCCCAAAGUGCUGGGAUUACAGGAGUGAGCCACUGCGCCUAGCCUGGUCACCAUUUUCUAUUGAAUAACAUCAAGGGAGGCCAUUUUUACUUUUUUUUUUUUUUAGAUGGAAUCUCACUCCGUCACCCAGGUUGUGGUACAUUGGCAUGAUCUCAGCUCACUGCAAACUCUACCUCUGGGGUUUAAGCGAUUCUUCUGCCUCAGCUUCCCAAGUAGCUGGGAUUACAGGCAUCCACCACUAUGCCUAGCUAAGUUUUCGUUUUUUGCAUUUUUAGUAGAGACAGUUUCACCAGGUUGAUCUCGAGUUGGCCAGGCUGAUCUCGAACUCCUGACUCAAGUGAUCUGCCCACCUUGGCCUCCCAAAGUGCUGGGAUUGCAGGCAUGAGCCACCAUGCCCAGCCCAUUUUUACUUUUCUAAGCAGAUACAAACAUUUCAUCAUCCUCUAACUGGACUUCACUAUUUUAAAAUAAUGACAAUGUAACUCUGGACUGAUUACUUUGAUUUCUUAGUGACAAAAUUUCUAGUUUCCUUUCAUUUCCUCUUUUUCAUUGAAAGAUUAUCGAAGACAGACUUCUAGCUAGCUUUAAUCUUGAAGUCAGUGAUUCUUAACCAUUUUUAUAUCACCAUUUGAUAUGCAAUUUGAUGAGAGGUAAGUAGCCCCUCCUUAGAAUGAUAUGUAUAUGUACAGACAUAAAUUUCACAUACGAUUUCAGGAGAUUCCAGGACAUACCUCGUUAGUCCUUUCAUGGAACCCAGGUUAUAACUCUGUUUUAAAAUUAGUGCCAGUCCAUUGAGUUACGGGCUUGUGAGGUUUUGAAGUAAAGCGAGCCUGAGUACGUCUGAGCAAGUCUGAUUUCAUGAGAGUUUUGCUCCUUCGCCUCGUGUUUUCUGGGAAAACGCCCAGGCACUGUUAACCUUUUCCUAAGCAGCUUCUUCUCUUGUCUCCCAUGUUAUUGUCUUGCCCUGUGGUUUUGUCAAUCCUUUUUUCUUUUUUUCUUUUUUUUUUUUUUUUUUUGAGAAAGAGUCUCGCUCUGUCUCCCAGGCUGGAGUGCAGUGGCGCGAUCUUGGCUCACUGCAAGCUCCACCUCCUGGGUUCACG